rnacentral:rRNA from 1 species
CACCGGCGGCUCGAGUGGUGGCCACUUUUAUUGGGUCUAAAGCGUCCGUAGCCGGCUUGGCAAGUCCCCUGGGAAAUCUGGCGGCUUAACCGUCAGGCGUCCAGAGGAUACUGCCAGGCUUGGGACCGGGAGAGGUGAGAGGUACCUCAGGGGUAGGGGUGAAAUCUUGUGAUCCCUGAGGGACCACCAGUGGCGAAGGCGUCUCACUAGAACGGGUCCGACGGUCAGGGACGAAAGCGGGGGGCACGAACCGG